ACUCAUGUAUGCAGGUUGAGUCCAAGCACAAGUAAGCACCAUUAUGUAUGCUCAAAGACGACUCUGUUCAAAUAUUCUUUUUCUAUCCUGGUUUGUCGAUUUGUGUGUGAUUGAUUUGCGUUUUUUCCGAUUUCAAACAGUAGGCGAGAAGACGACGGUGACGCAGAGGAGGACGAGGACCCGCGCUCCAGCCCGACCACGACUAUGCACCGCACGGUCCCUGCUUCCUGGCUGUCGCCAAUUGCCCCCUUCCCUUUACAGUACUACUCUAUUUGUUUUCAUUGCUUUUCACCCAGUUUUGCACACUUUCUGGCCCUUCACUUUUUUGUGUGCAAAUGUUCUGAUUGCCUCCAUAUGGUUGUUUCCGUCCUCCUGCUCGUGCUGUCUCCAUCCUCCUGCUCAAGUCGUCGCCGUCGCCUCCCAUCCUUCAUGGCCUGCGUGUGUGCGCCCACUGUUGGAGGACGACGUUGAACAUGAAGCGGAGCCCAGCCGGAGCGGUCUGACGCGGUGGUCGUGGCCAAGGAGCGGUGGUUGAUGCCAUGGAGCAGGGGCCCUCGGUCGCCUGCACAUCGGCUGCGUUCUGAACUAAUGCUUUCUGCAACUGCAAUGUUCCCCUUCACAUUGUAUCUUGUGUAGGCAGAAGGAAUGCAGCUCAGUGACGGCGUCGGCUAUAACUGGAUCGAUGGCCUGAAGGCUUUUACUAAGAAGAUGAAGAAUGUUGUAGAAUAGUGUCCAUCAACAAAGAGUCUUACUACUACCUGUUGGAG
rnacentral:lncRNA from 1 species